rnacentral:rRNA from 1 species
UACGUAGGGGGCAAGCGUUGUCCGGAUUUAUUGGGCGUAAAGAGCGUGUAGGCGGCCUGACAGGUCUGCUGUGAAAACUCGAGGCUCAACCUCGAGAUGUCGGCGGAAACCGUCUGGCUAGAGUCCGGAAGAGGAGAGUGGAAUUCCUGGUGUAGCGGUGAAAUGCGCAGAUAUCAGGAGGAACACCAGUGGCGAAGGCGCCACUCUGGGCCGUAACUGACGCUGAGGAGCGAAAGCGUGGGUAGCAAACAGG